ACCAGUCCACACAGCCAGGGCAUCCUCUGCGUCUUGCCAUGAUUCAUGGGAAUAAAUUAAAUUUCUUAUGGACUUUAGGUUUCUAUCUGGUAGCCAGUCGGUCUCCCAGUGUACCUUCCAUCGAGGACAAGAGUUUCAUAGAGGACUGUGUCACAGCUCACAAUGAAAUGCGUCGCACAGUCCAGCCCUCCGCGGCCGACAUGAAAUACAUGUCUUGGGAUGAAGGUUUAGCGAAGACUGCAAAAGCACGGGCAAACAAGUGCAAAAACCAAUCCAACACCUGCUCAGAAAAACCAUAUCAAUGUCAUCCAACUUUUAAAUAUGUGGGAGAAAAUAUUUGGUUAGGUGGAUCAUACCAAUUUAAACCAGAAUCUGCUAUUGGUCUUUGGUAUAAUGAAAAGAUGAUUUAUAAUUAUAGUACUUUACAUUGUUCCGAAGUUUGUGGCCAUUAUACACAGGUAGUUUGGGCCGAUUCAUAUAAAGUUGGUUGUGCAAUGACAAUUUGUCCUUACCUUCAGGGAGCUUCAACUGCAAUAUUUGUAUGUGACUAUGGACCUCUAGGAAAUUAUGUAGGGGCCCGCCCUUACACUGAAGGAGCAUCCUGCUCUACGUGUGGAAAAGAAGACACUUGUGAAAACAGCCUCUGCAAGAGAGGAAGGAAGAGGGAGAGAUCAAAACAUCAAUGAUGAGAGCAAAUCAUAGAUCCAUGCUGUCUUUUGCAUACCCCCUACUGAGGAUUGAGCCCACAAUGCCCAUGACCUCCUGUUUCAUGGUUCAAUGCUCAACCACUGAGCAGCCCUGACCAAGCAGUGGCUUGAUUCUUGAAAAUGAAGAACGUGAAAAGCUUAUCGAAUAUCCAAAUUGGAAUCCACAGGGGAAAGCACCACAGUGGAC